UACGGAGGGUGCGAGCGUUAAUCGGAAUAACUGGGCGUAAAGGGCACGCAGGCGGCCUUUUAAGUGAGGUGUGAAAUCCCCGGGCUUAACCUGGGAAUAGCAUUUCAGACUGGGAGUCUAGAGUACUUUAGGGGGGGGUGGAAUUCCACGUGUAGCGGUGAAAUGCGUAGAUAUGUGGAGGAAUACCGAAGGCGAAGGCGGCGCCGUGGGAAUGUACUGACGCUCAGGUGCGAAAGCGUGGGGAGCAAACAGG
rnacentral:rRNA from 1 species